UACGUAGGGUGCAAGCGUUGUCCGGAAUUAUUGGGCGUAAAGAGCUCGUAGGCGGUUUGUCGCGUCUGGUGUGAAAAUCCAGGGCUUAACCCUGGACCUGCAUCGGGUACGGGCAGACUAGAGUGCGGUAGGGGAGAUCGGAAUUCCUGGUGUAGCGGUGAAAUGCGCAGAUAUCAGGAAGAACACCCGUGGCGAAGGCGGCUCUCUGGGACGGUACUGACGCUGAGACGCGAAAGCGUGGGGAGCGAACAGG
rnacentral:rRNA from 1 species